rnacentral:lncRNA from 1 species
AGGAAAUUGGUUAUAUCUUGAAUAUUGUUAUAGAUAGAGAUAAACUGUUAACAGCAAUAAUGUUCAGCAAAGUAAGAUCUACAAAUAAGUCAGCAUGACCAAAAAUGGUCAGUUGACUCCUUAAGGAGUUAUUGCCCUUUAGUCAAUUUUACCAUUUUUCUUAAAUUUUUAUUAUCUUUUGUCAUCUUGAAGGGGCCUCUACAUGACAAAAAGUGAAACAGUUCAAAGAAAAAAGAAAAAAAAAAACUACAUUGUCUAUUACAUUUAACAAGAAACGAAAAAUAGUGUGAAAGACGGCAACCAACGACAAGUUCACCACUGAUUUACAUGACCAACAACAAAUGGAAGUGUUUAACGACAUUGACUGGCUAUACAGCCCUCGCACGGUCGGUACAUGACCCUGACUUAGGACAUGCACAAAUAUAAUGUAAAUAAUUAUAAUAAAAGAUGUGGUAUGAUAUUGCCAUUGAGACAACUCUCCACAAGAGACCAAUUGACACAGAAAUUAACAACAACGAGUAAAGAAAAACAAGUAACCAAAAAACAUAAGCUUUUUCUGGAUGAAUUUCAAGUUAUUUGAAGUAAAGUAAAGGUAUUGAAGAAAUAAUCCAAAGAACUAUGAAAGAAGAAAAUCACUUUUAUGUAAAAGUGGGGGAAAUCUUACAAAACAAUUAGAAAACAAAGAGA